CACGUUUGUCACCUUCAAACCUAGUUAUAAUCUCAUAGUAACAGGAUAAGCUUGUCAACAGCCACAAAAAGGCGAUAUCCAAUAGUCCAAAGUUCAAAUGUUUCUCUGGGCAUGUGUAAAACCGAAUGAAAGAUCAACUGACCAAUCAUAUGUCAACAACGAACACUCAGAACAAAGGUCAAUGUGAUAAGGGAGUUCACUUUGACAAAUAUCCCAACAAAGAGCAAUGUCUUGUUACCGAGAAAGAAAAUUUGAAAAUUUGACUUGGUGCGGAGCUGUAAAGAAUUACGGACAUCGAAUGAACUGAGACAAUGUGACAGAAAAGAGUUUAUGAACGCUGGAAUUGACAUACCAUGGUUAUAUUAAAGAAAAUUUGGUCAGUAACUCAGUAUGAUAAUUCAGUGAGACGCAGUUUAUUCAAAUAGAACUCUACCGGACAAGCGCUUUUACUCUUCUGGUGGACAAAGGAAUACGUUGGCCCAAGUCCCGACGAAGUUAUUACUAUUAAAUGAAACCGCCGCUGGGGGAAUAACAACAAGAUCGAUAGGCUAAAGCCGCUAAACACGAAAUCAACAAGCGUUCAAUUGAUACCAUUCCAUUUCUCAAUGCACAUGCUUCCUAAAGUGAAGCGGUAUUCGGCGCGUAAGUAUGCGGUGCAUUGACUGUCAGACACGUUUGUUUCGUAUUCCGCAUCUCAAACCAACCAAAAUAUAUUAAAAUUCGUCUAUUUUAUAACAACAUUCUGGUGUAUUUAUAUUUGUCGAUCAAAAAUUCCAAUGACAAUUUUAUUACUACCUUGAGGUUAGCCGCAGAGUAAAGGCUUCAGAUUACGCCUCAGAUUUGGCGUUGGAUUGGGUUUCAAUCAGGCCUUACAUUAAACUGUAUUCAAUCGCUCAAAAGUAGAAUUAUAAAACUUCUUUUUUAGCUAUUUCACAAAAUUAAUUUGACCUGCAUACAUUUUCAAUACUUUACUGUUCAAAACUUAAGAAAGCAAGCUCAUUUGUGAACGAAAUUUGAGACUUAAAACUCUGCACAUGACACAUGUUUAUGCACAUUUGCGAUAAAUCGGCAAGAUGGAUAUCAGGAAAGAUUGGUACGAUACCAUGUAUGCCUACGCUUUUGAAAAUUGAAAAUCCUUUGAUGUACCAUUAUUUACUGCAUAUAAUCUAUUUUGACUACCACAUACAUAUUCUUACAAUUUCUUUCUGCUAAUAUCAUGCAUGCAUGAUCGGAUGUUCGAUCGCAAAAUUUUGGUCUUGCUAUUUUGAAUUAAAGUAAUGAAUAAGCUAUUUUUCUGAGAGUAAUGUCACAUAAUUCGAGAAAGUUCCACUGAUCAUAAUUGAAAUAAAAUAAGUGUGG